CAGAGCUAGGGCUGCCCCUCAAUCCACUGUCGCAAACUCAGGUCCUAUUCACUGACUCUGGAACUCACUCCAGCUGCCAUUGGAAAUGCCAGUACCUUGGGUUUUCCUUCUCUCUUUGGCUUGCGCUUAUGGCGACUCCUGGAUCUCUCAGGAUCAGCUGUCCUUUACCCGGAAACCAAAUAAGACGGUACAUAUAAGCUGCAAGCUCUCUGGAGUCCCCUUCCAGAACACCAUUGUGCACUGGUACCAACUGAAAGAAGGGGAGCCCCUGAAACGAAUCUUCUAUGGCUCAUCCAAGACUUACAAGCAAGACAAUCCCCACUCCCGCUUUGAAACAGAUGAGAAGAGCGAUGGUACCUUUUACCUGAUAAUUAAUAAUGUUAUUAAAUCAGACGAAGCUAUGUACUACUGUGCUUGCUGGGAUCUCACAGUGUCUCAGCAUCUGAAGGAACCUGUAAGAAAACCUUCCUCUGUGGCCUGGUAAGGCUGCUCCCCUAUCAGGGGGAGGUGAUCAAAGAGCAGGCUAAUCAGUUCCUGUCAGAGACAGUCCCUGUCUCCACUACUAUGGAAAACACUUGGACACUGAACUGCCAUGGGCUACCUCUGUGCAGGUGUUCCAGGCCAUCUCCACGACUAUUCCUUGGCCAGACUAUCAGUCUCAGAAAAGACCCCUGUGCCCAAACUUUUUAGAUCUAUUGCUCUCCUUGUGGAGCUCCUAUCUUCUCCAGGUCUUACUAUCUCCCACUUCUUUCAUAAGAUUCCCUGCACUCUGCCCAAAGUUUGACUAUGAGUCUCAGCAUCUGCCUCGAUACCGUGCAGGGUAGAGCCUUUCAGAGGCCCUCUGUGGUAGGCUCCUGUCCUGUUCCCUGUUUUCCCCCUCUUCUGAUAUCCAUCUCUUUGCCUUUCUAAAUGGGGAUUGAGCAUCUUAGCCAGAGUCCUCCUUGAUUAGUUUCUUCAGGUGUACAGAUUGUAGUAUGUUUAUCCUCCACAGAGGAAGACAAUGCAGCCACUCCAGAUUAGACCUGAUAGAUUAGGAUCAGAAGGAAGGAGAGGA